AAAUAUAUGUUAAGUGGAAAAGGAUGUGGGGUUGCUUAGACAACCAGGAUGUUGGCUUAGAAGCAGCCACCAUUGAAAGAGUGCGUAAUAGCUCACUGGUCGAGUGACCCCGCGCCGAAAAUGUACCGGGGCUAAACAUAUUACCGAAACUGUGGAUGAACCUCUUUAGAGGUUCGUGGUAGGAGAGCGUUCUAAGGGCGGUGAAGUCAGACCGGAAGGACUGGUGGAGCGCUUAGAAGUGAGAAUGCCGGUAUGAGUAGCGAAAGAAGGGUGAGAAUCCCUUCCACCGAAUAUCUAAGGUUUCCUGAGGAAGGCUCGUCCGCUCAGGGUUAGUCGGGACCUAAGCCGAGGCCGAUAGGCGUAGGCGAUGGACAACAGGUAGAGAUUCCUGUACCAGUGCUAAUUGUUUAACCGAUGGGGUGACACAGAAGGAUAGGGAAUCGCACGAAUGGAAAUGUGCGUCCAAGCAGUGAGUGUGAGAAGUAGGCAAAUCCGCUUCUCGCGAAGCAUGAGCUGUGAUGGGGAAGGAAAUUAAGUACGGAAGUUCCUGAUUUCACGCUGUCAAGAAAAGCCUCUAGGAAGAGUAGUACUGCCCGUACCGCAAACCGACACAGGUAGAUGAGGAGAGAAUCCUAAGGUGAGCGAGAGAACUCUCGUUAAGGAACUCGGCAAAAUGACCCCGUAACUUCGGGAGAAGGGGUGCUCUAUUAGGGUGCAAGCCCGAGAGAGCCGCAGUGAAUAGGCCCAGGCGACUGUUUAGCAAAAACACAGGUCUCUGCAAAACCGUAAGGUGACGUAUAGGGGCUGACGCCUGCCCGGUGCUGGAAGGUUAAGAGGAGUGCUUAGCUUCGGCGAAGGUACGAAUUGAAGCCCCAGUAAACGGCGGCCGUAACUAUAACGGUCCUAAGGUAGCGAAAUUCCUUGUCGGGUAAGUUCCGACCCGCACGAAAGGCGCAACGAUCUGGGCACUGUCUCAACGAGAGACUCGGUGAAAUUAUAGUACCUGUGAAGAUGCAGGUUACCCGCGACAGGACGGAAAGACCCCGUGGAGCUUUACUGCAACCUGAUAUGGAAUGUUUGUACCGCUUGUACAGGAUAGGUAGGAGCCGAAGAGACGUGUGCGCUAGCAUACGAGGAGGCAAUGGUGGGAUACUACCCUGGCUGUAUGACCAUUCUAACCCGCCACGCUUAGCGCGUGGGGAGACAGUGUCAGGUGGGCAGUUUGACUGGGGCGGUCGCCUCCUAAAGAGUAACGGAGGCGCCCAAAGGUUCCCUCAGAAUGGAUGGAAAUCAUUCGCAGAGUGUAAAGGCACAAGGGAGCUUGACUGCGAGACUGACAAGUCGAGCAGGGACGAAAGUCGGGCUUAGUGAUCCGGUGGUUCCGCAUGGAAGGGCCAUCGCUCAACGGAUAAAAGCUACCCCGGGGAUAACAGGCUUAUCUCCCCCAAGAGUCCACAUCGACGGGGAGGUUUGGCACCUCGAUGUCGGCUCGUCGCAUCCUGGGGCUGUAGUCGGUCCCAAGGGUUGGGCUGUUCGCCCAUUAAAGCGGCACGCGAGCUGGGUUCAGAACGUCGUGAGACAGUUCGGUCCCUAUCCGUCGCGGGCGCAGGAAAUUUGAGAGGAGCUGUCCUUAGUACGAGAGGACCGGGAUGGACACACCGCUGGUGUACCAGUUGUUCCGCCAGGAGCAUCGCUGGGUAGCUAUGUGUGGCAGGGAUAAACGCUGAAAGCAUCUAAGCGUGAAGCCCCCCUCAAGAUGAGAUUUCCCAUUUCUUCGGAAAGUAAGA
rnacentral:rRNA from 1 species